GCCUGUAGAGAGAGAAAGAUGGUGGGAAGGGGGAGCAGAGCAGAGCAGACAGCAGAGAGCAGAGGGUGGGUGUGCAUUCGGCUUUUAAGGCGCAGAUUGUGUGACCACGCUGCGUGCACGCAUACGUAGUGGCCAACGCCCCCUAGUGACGCAAGACGCAAGACCCUGAGCUGCGCAUGUGCUGGAGUGAGGGCAGGAUCUUAACAGUCCCUCCUGGUAGAAUUUCUCUGCAUGCGGCUGCCGUGUUCACAAUAGGUUUGCCGUCCCUCCCGCCAACACACACAUAUCACCACCACUCAGGGGUAGGAUGUGCAAGCGGGAGGUGUUCCUGAAAGGGAGAUUUGUGCAAAGGAAUUACAUAAGAGCAGGCAAGUCUCAAGCACUUAUCGCUAGAGGGGAGGGAUUUGCAGGGAACUUGUGUCAGCUUUUCUUUUCUCGGUCAGGGUGAGUUUUUGAGGAGGAGACUUCGGAAAGCAGGAUCCAGAGCAGGGGCUGUUUAAGGCCGCCGAGAAGCACAGGGAGGCACAGGAGCACACACGUGUAGUGGUCAGACAAAGGACAUCUUCAUGUCCACCCCUCGAGCUCUGCUCUUCUUUCUAUGAGACUGAAAGGAAGAUCAAGAAGAGGGUGGAAACAAAGUAAGAGUGGAGUUGAUCACAGGGUGGAGGCCGUGGCCAUCUGUGAGGCGAAUGUAGUUUCCGCUUGGCCCUGGGGUCCAGGAGGGAAUAGGGACAGGAAAGCUCACCAACUUGGUCUUGACCUCGCCUCAGCCUGUGCUAGGCUUGCUCAGGUUUGAGACCCAGAAUGGACAGGUCGGGCAGCCGCUCCCCGGGUGUGUGCAGAGGUAACCAUGUAUGCCCCAGGAGUGCCUGAACACAGGGGUGCGAGAUGACAUCUGUGAGGAGAGGCAGAGCAGAGGAGGAUCUCUCUGGACCUGGCAUCUUUCUGCUUGGCUUUUAAUUCUUGCAGAUAUCAAAUGCACAUUCAAUCAAACAAACAAACAACAGAAACCCACAAGCUGCUCGCCUUUGGAGUCAUGUGCAUACUUCAUUGGAGCUCUUGUAUUCAAACACUAUGCUCCCCUGUGGGAAGAAGAUUGUGAUCCAUUUAGGGUGUCUAAACUGGAUGAUAAGAUUCCUCCUUUUUCUGUCCAUUGUCCUGAUGGCUCCUGUCCUAAUUCAGAAGGAAAUGUGCUGAACCAUAUCUAAGGGAUUCAGAAAGCACUUGGUGACUGCGAAGUGCCAGAGUACCAGUCAAUGUUGACAAAGGAAACCGACAAUGGAGGGAACACACCAUCCAGAUCCAAUAGGUGACAAAAGACAAUGUAAGUGCACGCCAGUGGCCUCCAUGCACUGUGACCGGAAUUUACGAGUGUGGUUUCAUCAGACAAAAAAAAUUCUGUAACAAGUCCCCCGAUUUGGAAGUCUCUGCUACCAAAGAUGGCGGCUCGUGAAGCCGACCAGGUUCCACCUCGUCAGUGUCUGCCUCACCCACUCCUCUCCUUGGCGCUCGUCUCCUCUGCUCAUUGAACCGACAGUCAAAUCUCAGGGCUCUUAUUUCACAAGUAACUGCUUCCUCUAGUCCAGUGGUCCUCAAACUUGAGCAUCCAGAAGGUCUCCUUAAAGUGCAUCUACUCCUGAGGUUCCUGAUUCAGACGUCUGGAAUGGGACCCAAGGACUUGCAUUCUAGUUACUUCCCUAGUGAUGCUAAAGCUAUUGUUGGUCCAGGGCAGAUCAACACUCUGAGCGCCAUUAUUUUCACCACCCUCAGGAAAUUUGUAAGCUUUAAGCCACUGCCAGACUGAGAUAAUUGCCAAGUUCAUCGUCCUGUGACAUUCCAUUUUUUUUUCAAAAGUCUGCUGUUGCAAGUAAUACAGCAACAUCCCUGGAUGUGGUACGCGACUUUGAGUCCUGUGAGGGUAGGCAGAGACCAUCAUGUAAAGCAAAAUUAGCCAGACUCAAGAACACAAAUAUUGUAUAUUUUUCUCAUUUGUGGAUCAUAGAUUGAAUUAUAGAUACAUAAAAUCACACACACACACACACACACACACACACACACCCCAUAGAGGAGCGGUUGAUGACGGAGACUAACAAUUUAAGGAAGGUAGGGGGAGAGGAGGGAGAAGGUAUGGUGGCUGAAAAUGGUCAGAAUACAUGAUAUACUUGAAAUUAUCUUAUGAAACUUUGUAAAAUAUAUGCCAAUAUUAAAAAAAAUCCAGUGUCUGACCAAGUGUCCUUAUUUCUGCUCCACGUAUUCAUAUUACCUGCCUGCCUGUUCCAUCUUUAGUAUUUUCUGAUUUGUUAUCACAGGAAGAAAGUGCAGUCAGAUACAAAGCAACACUGUGUGUUUUUUUUCUGGAGUAUUUUGUUAAAUAUCAGUCUAACUGCCGUCUUCACGCAUGACUUCUGGCUCCUCAAGAGUCGUAACGAAAUCAUAAUGGACAAUAUGAUUUCAGUCACAGAGCCCUCCAUCUGGAUUGCUGCCAUCAAAACUACAGGCUUGGCAUUGUGUUAAUUUAUGCAUAUGAAUAAAGAGGACUUAAAGCUUUGGAUCUGUGUUCUAGAUGAUGCGGAAUGUUAAAGUUUAUUUUGCCCCGGCUACUUUUCUCAUGAGGAAGAAGCCAACAAUCUUAGCUCAUUCAAAGAUUGCUCAAGUUGAAAAACAAACAAACAAGCAAACAAACGCUUUGGUUGUUCGGUAGGUAGCCACCUUUGAUGAUGGUAACAGCUUUCAGUUACUGGUUUUGAAGUCAUUUCAGGAUAAACAAGCCCUACUUUAAUAAUCUGGAAAAAAAGGAAAUUAUUAGUAUAUCUGCCUAGUAUUAUGAGGAUAUACACAGAGAAACAGACCUUUAUACACACGGUUGUAUAUGUGUAUGUGUGUAUAUGUGUGUGUGUGUGUGUAUGUGUGUGUGUGUGUGUAUAUGGUGGUGGUGGGGAGUGUUUCAGUCUUUAAGCACUCUUCCCUAAGGGUUUUUGCAAGCAGUUAUUGCUUAUAAAUGGUCAAUUUCAGUUGAUAGUGAAGAAAUAAUUAGAUUGAGGGAAAGUCAUACAGGAAUAAUUACACAACUUAAAGGAAAAUAAAAUAUUUAUUAAAAAAUAAUGAUUUUUCUGGUGGGGGGGAUCUUUUUUAACAGUUUGCAUGACGACUAUUUCUGACCCAGAAACUCCAAUCUAGUGAUUUUCUCAUGUGAUGAUACCCUCAGGUUUAUCCAUCAUUUAAACUCCACAAAUUCUUUAGGGGACAGUCUAAAAAUUCAUCCUGAUUCUUGAUCUUUGGAAUUAAAGGAAUAAUUUUGUGCAUUUCUAGUGCUCUAUUUUUUAAGAACCAGAAAAUGAGAAUCCAAUGUGAUUUUGAAAGAAUGCUGUAUGUUGCGUGCUUUCUCAGGGGACCAGGCCACAGUCAUCUUUGCUUCUGGCAUCAAUCUCAUCCCUUUUCAAUUUUACAUUUAACUCCAGGGUCUCGUUCUCACACCCAUAAUCCCUGAUAGAAAGCUUUGCCUUGGGAUCAAAGGACUUCCUGGUAAUUACAUGAUAUAACCAGAAGCUACAGCAGGCAAACAGAUACAUAGUUCAAUUUAGGAAAAAAGACUCACAGAACAUGGGCCAUAGCAUUGACAAUAAGCCACUAUGCUUGCUCAGUUACUGAAUCACACACUGCAUUUUAAAACAGAGACAUGAUGGGAUAACUUGACCAAUUAUGCAUGCAUCUUCUUAGGUGGUACAUGAGUGAAGCCUAGCAUUACUAACAUUGUCAACUUGUCAACGGUUUCUCUAUUUGUAGCAGUGGCAAUCCAAUUAAAAUGGCCAUCAGAGCAGAUCCAAACUGCAUUAAAUGACUCCAAUUAAUGUCAUAUUUAAUUUGGAAGUACAGCGGAAGAUGUUCUGUACUGCCCCCUGCAAAUCUUCAUUCAGCUUGUGGAUUUUAUACAUUAUGUUUG